CUGCCAGCAGGACCGUGAUGCUAACGUUAGCCAGAUAGCUAUCUGGCUGUGAGGAAAACAAACCGGUUUAGUUUCAUUUUACCGGGGGGAAAAUGGUGAAAGAGACGAUUCAGAUAUUCGCUCGCAUUAAACCCACCAAGAAAAAUGUGGCGGUGUACUCUGUGGACAAUGAGAACCAGACAGGUUCCUCUCUGGAGUUUUUUGUGCCCAAGGACCUGGCUGAUGGCUUUGUUAACAACAAGAGAGAGUGCUACAACUUCAGGUUCCAGAAAGUGUUCGAUCAGGUCGCCAAACAAGAAGAGAUAUUUGAAAACAUCGCCAAACCAGUUGCAGACAGUGUGUUGGCUGGCUAUAAUGGCACCAUAUUUGCAUACGGCCAGACAGGAAGCGGGAAGACCUUUACCAUCACAGGAGGGGCUGAGCAGUACAGCGAUCGUGGGAUUAUUCCUCGCACCCUUUCCUACCUAUAUGAACGGUUCAGCCAGGACAGCAGCAUGGUUUAUACCACACAUAUCUCUUAUCUGGAGAUCUACAAUGAGAUGGGAUACGACCUUCUGGAUUCCCGACAUGAAGCAUCUCGACUGGAAGACCUACCAAAAGUAAUGAUUAUGGAGGAUCAAGACCAAAACAUCCAUCUGAGGAACCUGUCCCUGCAGCAGUCAGUGAAUGAGGAGGAGGCUCUAAAUCUACUCUUCCUUGGUGACACCAAUCGUAUGAUCGCUGAAACUCCCAUGAACCAGGCGUCCACUCGUUCCCACUGUAUAUUCACUGUGCACCUAUGCAGGCGUGAACCUGGUUCAGCCACCCUGCGGCGAUCCAAGCUCCACCUGGUGGAUCUGGCAGGAUCGGACCGAGUUAGCAAGACUGGUUUAAAUGGGCAGCUGCUCACCGAUGCAAAGUAUAUCAACCUCUCUCUCCAUUACCUGGAACAGGUCAUCAUAGCACUGUCAGAGAAGAAUCGUUCCCAUAUUCCCUACAGAAACUCCAUGUUAACGUCUGUUCUGAGGGACAGUCUUGGGGGCAACUGCAUGACCACCAUGAUUGCCACUAUGGCAGUUGAGAGAAGGAACCUCGAGGAGUCCAUCUCGACGUGUCGCUUCGCACAACGUGUGGCUGUCAUCAAGAACGAGGCGAUACUGAACGAAGAACUGGAUCCUGCGCUGCUGAUAGCAAGUUUGAAAAGAGAGAUCCUGUCUCUUAAGGAGGAGCUGGCCAUGGUGACUGGAGAGCAGAGAGACGACCGACUAACUCCAGAGGAGAUCCAGAAAUUGGAGGAGCUCGUUAAGGCUUAUCUGGAUGAUCCCGAUCCAGAUGUGACACUGUCACUGGGACCAGACAUGAGAAAGAUCCAGCACUGCUUCUCCCUGCUAAAGGUAAUUAUUUGGGACAAAAAGGGAGGAAAAAACAGAUCCAGUGAUGACAAAGCAACACCAGCAGCAACAGGGAGGGAAGAAGAAAUUCAACACAGCCACCAAAGUGCAGGAGAGGUGGCCAAAUUAAAAGAGAUGCUCGGGCAACGUGAUAACGAGAUUAGCAUCCUAGUUAAGAUGUUGAAGAAGGAGAAAAAAAGAGCCCAGGAUGCUGCUGCUCAGCUUGCAAACAUCACCAACAGCCAGAGUCAGAGUACAUCGAGUGUGUCCACGGUGGAGCUGUCACAAGAAGGAAGUAUGGAGACCAUCUCAGCAGACCACAGAGGACGAGCUAUACAGUACAUGAAAAGAGGCCCCAAGCUGUCAAUGGGAAAACAAGAGGCCUUUGAGAUCUUCAUAAGAGACCAUGAAGACCACCUAACCAUUGAAGACAACAAGAGUCUGCUGAAACAGAGAUCAGCAGAGGCCCGGAAACUUGGAGAGGAACUGAAUGAAGCCAGAAACAGAAUCACUGAACUGAAGAAGCAGCUGGAUGUGCGGAGGAGACAGAGAGCCGCUUAUGGUGUCAUGGAAAGUCACACAGGGUCUGAGGAGGAGUUUGACCCAGCUGAAGAAAACCUCUGCAAGCACAUUGAGGAAGAAAAAACAGGUUACAAGAGCAUCGUUGGCCGUCUAAAAGCACUGAGGACCGAGAUUGAGCAUCUGCAGCUGUUGUUGGAGAGGUCAAAGGUCAAGCUCCAGAAGGACUUCCAUAAGUGGUGGAGCCAGGAAGCUUCCAGUCUGCAGGAGUCUGAGUCAGAGGCUGCAGCCCAAAGUCACACUGGGACACUGAACAGGACCAUACAGCCAUCUACACCUCGAGCUCCGGGAUUUGGGGCUCCUGCUCUCAGCAGUACUGUGAGAGACUCGCCAGCAGGCCGACACCUGAAUCCAGAUCCUUCUAUCUCUGCUCAGGAGCUCAGAAGUUUUACCCUUGAAAGCAAACCUCCAGGACCAGCUGUGCCAGCGUGGCAGAAUAACCCUGUGAACAGGAAGGUGACAGACUUCACCCCUUCUUCUGAGUGGAAGUAUGUGAAUCAGCGGCCUGGAACAAAGGACCCUCACCUCUGCCACAGUCUCAUCCUCUAUUCCGCUGACUGGAGACCAGCAAACUGAUGCUGACAUCCUGGCUUUUAUCAGGGCUAGGCAGAAUCUCGUCAGCAGGGCAGGCAAACAUCAGCAGUGAUGUGUUUCAAGUUUGACCUCCACGUGUCACGGCGAGUGAGAUGAGCCGUGUGGAAAAUAAAGGAGGAUCCAAACGCAGGCACCUGUAAAGGUGUGAUGGUGGUUUAUUAAACACAAAAUAAAAAUGGACAAAAGGCGAACCGAACAAAGACUAAACUAUACUGGGAACAAACUGAGUACAGAACACAAAC